rnacentral:rRNA from 1 species
CCUACGGGAGGCAGCAGUGGGGAAUAUUGCGCAAUGGGCGAAAGCCUGACGCAGCAACGCCGCGUGGGGGAUGAAGGUUCUCGGAUUGUAAACCCCUUUCGAUCGGAACGAAUCCCCUCCUGGUAAAUAAUCAGGAGGAUCGACGGUACCGAGAGAAGAAGCCACGGCUAACUCUGUGCCAGCAGCCGCGGUAAU